AAGAUAUUUAUUUUUAUUCAGUUGUAAGGUGAAGAAAGCUCUUUGCAAAUGUCCUAGAGAAACAUAGUAGCUUUCUUUCCACCCUUGGCAAGUAAAAAGGGUAGAGCGUCCCACUACUGACAUAU